rnacentral:lncRNA from 1 species
AUACCUAUCACGAGUCCCCUUUCCCAUAAGUCUGAUUUUUUUUUUUUUUUUUGCCUCUUUUCAUCUUUACACAGACCUGUUUCCUAAUGUCAGUUAACGUGAUUGGCCAGCGAAUGGAUUUCUAUGCCAUGAUCCACGCCUGCUGGCUGAUCGCUGUCUUAUAUAGACGCAGAAGGAAAGCCAUCGCGGAGAUCUGGCCCAAGUACUGCUGCUUCCUGGCGUGCAUCAUCACCUUCCAGUAUUUCAUCUGCAUCGGCAUCCCACCUGCUCCUUGCCGAGAUUACCCAUGGAGAUUCAAGGGUGCCAGCUUCAAUGACAACAUCAUAAAGUGGCUGUACUUCCCCAAUUUCAUUGUGCGGCCCAACCCUGUGUUUCUUGUCUGUAAGUGUUUCCACCGCAGGGCCACGGAAUGCUGGUAUCCGGGUUCACUGCUAAUCAUUCUUCGUGUGCUAUGCAUUAGUGCCUUUUGUCUUCCACUAGACUUCAUAAUCAUGUAAAGGCUUGUCUUAUGCAUGAAGAUCACAAGUCAUUAAUGGC